rnacentral:lncRNA from 1 species
CUAUUCCUUCUCCGAAGCCACUGCCACCACUAGAGCCAAUCCCUUCUCCGAAGCCACUGCCUCCACUAGAGCCUAUCCCUUCUCCAAAGCCACUGCCACCACUAGAGCCUAUUCCUUCUCCGAAGCCGCUGCCUCCACUGCCAUAACCAACGCCAUAGCCAUAUCCCAUAGGCUUAACUGUGUGAUCAGGCUUCUCUAUGCCAUCAAUCUUCUCUUUGUCUUUAAGCUUCUCUUUGUAAUCAGGCUUUACUUCAUGAUCAGGCUUCUCUAUGUCAUCAAUCUUCUCUUUGCCACCAUCAUUAAGCCUCUCUUUGUAAUUAGGCUUUACUAUAUGAUCAGGCUUCUCUAUGCCAUCAAUCUUCUCUUUGCCACCAUCAUUAAACCUCUCUUUGUAAUUGGGCUUUACUAUAUGAUCAGGCUUCUCUAUGUCAUCAAUGUUCUCUUUGUCACCAUCAUUAAGCUUCUCUUUGUAAUCAGGCUUUACUUUAUGAUCAGGCUUCUCUAUGCCAUCAAUCUUCUCUUUGCCACCAUCAUUAAACCUCUCUUUGUAAUUGGGCUUUACUAUAUGAUCAGGCUUCUCUAUGUCAUCAAUNN